CCACCGCACCCAGUCGGAAUUGGGUUUGUUUUAAUUAAUGUGACCUAAAUUCACUAAUAAGAAUCCCAUAGUGUUUUUUUUUUCUUAGAGGCUCAAAAUUUUAAUUACUCCUUGUCAGUUUUGAGAAUCUCCACGCUACAAUGGUACAAAGAGUUAAAAGAACAUGUAUAAUUAUGAGAAUAAGUUUAUUUUUAAAAUGCCACUUCUCAGCCUACAAUUUACUUUUGCAAGGCAAAAUUAUUUUUCCAAAACAUAGUACCUUUCUUUGUCAAAGCCCACACCAAAGUCUCAAAAGUCCUUUUUUAGACAAUGUCAAUAUAACAGAUUUCAUCCUCAAUGGAAUGCCCAAUAACCAUCUGAACAGAUGCUUCUGUUGAUGUUCCCGAACUUUGUCACCCUAAGAGCCAACUGCAGAUGAAUAUUUUCCCAUAUGCUCUCUAACCCGUUGCUGUUUUGAGCGUUCUAGUUUUUCAUUUUAUUUUUUCCUGGAACUCAUUUCUUAAAUUAGGUUCUGCCCCCUCUCUUUUUCAUGUGGACUAGGAUUAUACGCUGGAAUCACAUGUUUAACUUUUGGUUUCCUUGCCUUUGCUUUUUGGCUGAGGCCAUUUAUUGUGUUUGUUUUUCUAAUAGAUACCUCUAGGCUUGGUCUGGUUGGUUUUCCGUCAUGAAAGAUAUGAAAUCUUACAAUCCUGCUCACAUUCAAUUCUUUAAGAUAAGUAAUCCAGCCUGGAACGUAUUCUGCUGUUAAUAGCAUCUAAUCUAGGUCUAAACUUCAUGCACCACUUUCCUUCUCAGCUCCCCCUUAUAAGCUUUAUCUCUACUGUUCCUUUGUCAACACUUCAACUUCCCUUUAUUUCUGAGUCGUGUUUCCUCAGACACAGUACUUCUAUGCUUACUCAAAUAACUGUGACUUUUUAAAAUUCCACCAAGUACUAUAUUAAAUUUUUAUGCUGGUCAUCCUGAGUUUUCCUUUAAAUUCCAUCCAGAGUUUCUGCUAUCACUUGGUAUAACUGCAAAUCCUCAAGAAAUAGUUUCCUAACUGCCGUGAUUAUGGAUUUUUUUCCCCUUACAUCAAUUGACCAUUUUAAAAAUGAACUUAAUUGAGUUAUAAAUUACCUAUACAGAUAUUUAUAAAAUACAUUUAAUGAACUGUAAAACAUAGAAUGUACAGAUGUUUUAGCAAAAGUAUAUUCUCAUAUACUAUGUAACCACCACAUCAAUCAAUAUAUAGAAUAUUUUUAUUGUCUUAGAACGUUCCUUCAAGUUUCUUACCACAGGGAAAUCACUUAUCUGAUAUUUAUUAUCAUAGAUUAUUUUGCUUAUUCUUUUUUUAUUAUUAUACUUUGAGUUUUAGGUUACAUGUGCACAACGUGCAGGUUUGUUACAUAUGUAUACAUGUGCCAUGUUGGUGUGCUGCACCCAUUAACUCAUCAUUUAGCAUUAGGUAUACCUAAUGUUAUCCUCCCC
rnacentral:lncRNA from 1 species